rfam:Picea glauca, whole genome shotgun sequence.
AUGUACAUGCUUACAACAUAGCGUUAAUGCAUUAGAUUCCAUUAGAACUCUGUAGUUAAGUGUGCUCGGUAUAGAGUAGUACUAGUAUGGGUGACCACCCGAGAAGUCUUAGUGUUUUACAUU